rnacentral:rRNA from 1 species
GAGUUUGAUCCUGGCUCAGAUUGAACGCUGGCGGCAGGCCUAACACAUGCAAGUCGAGCGGAUGACGGGAGCUUGCUCCUUGAUUCAGCGGCGGACGGGUGAGUAAUGCCUAGGAAUCUGCCUGGUAGUGGGGGACAACGUUUCGAAAGGAACGCUAAUACCGCAUACGUCCUACGGGAGAAAGCAGGGGACCUUCGGGCCUUGCGCUAUCAGAUGAGCCUAGGUCGGAUUAGCUAGUUGGUGGGGUAAUGGCUCACCAAGGCGACGAUCCGUAACUGGUCUGAGAGGAUGAUCAGUCACACUGGAACUGAGACACGGUCCAGACUCCUACGGGAGGCAGCAGUGGGGAAUAUUGGACAAUGGGCGAAAGCCUGAUCCAGCCAUGCCGCGUGUGUGAAGAAAGGUCUUCGGAUUGUAAAGCACUUUAAGUUAGGGAGGAAGGG